rnacentral:rRNA from 1 species
UACGUAGGGGGCAAGCGUUGUCCGGAUUCAUUGGGCGUAAAGAGCGUGUAGGCGGCCAGGUAGGUCGGUUGUGAAAACUGGAGGCUCAACCUUCAGAGGUCGACCGAAACCAUCUGGCUAGAGUCCGGGAGAGGAGAGUGGAAUUCCUGGUGUAGCGGUGAAAUGCGCAGAUAUCAGGAAGAACACCCGUGGCGAAAGCGGCUCUCUGGAACGGUACUGACGCUGAUGCACGAAAGCUAGGGGAGCAAACAGG